rnacentral:rRNA from 1 species
GACGAACCGUGCAAACGUUGUUCGGAAUCACUGGGCUUAAAGGGCGCGUAGGCGGGCAGGCAAGUCGAAGGUGAAAUCCCACGGCUCAACCGUGGAAGUGCCCCCGAUACUGCCUGUCUCAAGGGAGAUAGGGGCGUGCGGAACUUCCGGUGGAGCGGUGAAAUGCGUAGAUAUCGGAAGGAACACCGGUGGCGAAAGCGGCGCGCUGGAUCUCUUCUGACGCUGAUGCGCGAAAGCGUGGGGAGCGAUCCGG